UACGGGGGGGGCAAGCGUUGUUCGGAAUUACUGGGCGUAAAGGGCUCGUAGGCGGCCAACUAAGUCGGAUGUGAAAUCCCCAGGCUUAACCUGGGAACUGCAUCCGAUACUGGAUGGCUUGAAUCCGGGAGAGGGAUGCAGAAUUCCAGGUGUAGCGGUGAAAUGCGCAGAUAUCGGGAAGAACACCCGUGGCGAAGGCGGCUCUCUGGGACGGUACUGACGCUGAGACGCGAAAGCGUGGGGAGCGAACAGG
rnacentral:rRNA from 1 species